rnacentral:snRNA from 1 species
GUGCUCACCUUGGUAGCAUAUAUAUUAAAAUUAGAAUGAUACAGAGAAGAUUAGCAUGGCCCCUGCAAAAGGAUGACAUGUAAAUUCAUAAGACGUUCCAUAUUUUU